CAGCAGCCGCGGUAAUACGAAGGGGGCUAGCGUUGUUCGGAAUUACUGGGCGUAAAGGGCGCGUAGGCGGCCAUUCAAGUUAGAUGUGAAAGCCCUGGGCUCAACCUAGGAAUUGCAUUUGAUACUGUUUGGCUUGAGUUCGGGAGAGGUGAGUGGAAUUCCCAGUGUAGAGGUGAAAUUCGUAGAUAUUGGGAAGAACACCUGUGGCGAAGGCGGCUCACUGGACCGACACUGACGCUGAGGCGCGAAAGCGUGGGGAGCAAACAGGAUUAGAUACCCCCGUAGUCCCUGUCUCUUAUAA
rnacentral:rRNA from 1 species